AAUAAAGUUUGCUUUGAAAUAAGGUUUUAAGUACCCGUCGGCACGGACAAUAUUCACCGUGCCGUACCGUGCCAACAAGAUACCGGUACGAUACAGACCCCCUGCCGAUGGCACAGCUCAAAACCCUCUGUUCUUUAAAUUAGUAAGUAAUUUCUUCAAUAUAGUUCAAAAGACAUAAUAAAAAGAUAUAAUAAAUAGUUAGAAUAUUUUGUUGCUAAAAAAAUAAAUAUUUCAUACUAUUAUGUGUUGGCACAUAAGAAUUUUUUUGACCGAUACGCCUCGGUACGGCUCGGCACGCGCCGUAACGUACCGUGCCGGUAUGUUUCUGGCAUGACCCUAUGUCACGACACUUAAAUUCUUAUUUUGAAGGAAUUCAUAAGCAGCAAUUUCAAAUAAUUACUAAAAGACAAGUACUGUCUUAAUGAUAGAAUAAGUUAUUCAAUAAUAAUUAUACAUUUU
rnacentral:lncRNA from 1 species